rnacentral:rRNA from 1 species
GACAGAGGGUGCAAACGUUGCUCGGAAUUAUUGGGCGUAAAGCGCACGUAGGCGGCUUUGCAAGUCGGAUGUGAAAUCCCUCGGCUUAACCAAGGAAGUGCAUCCGAAACUGCAGAGCUUGAGUACUUAAGAGGAUCGCGGAAUUCCCGGUGUAGAGGUGAAAUUCGUAGAUAUUCGGAGGAACACCAGUGGCGAAGGCGGCUCACUGGUCCGGUACUGACGCUGAGGUGCGAAAGCGUGGGGAGCAAACAGG